GUGAGUGUGCAGAGAGGGAGCAUACUGGACUUAAGGGGGAAACUGAGGCCCAGAGCAUCCACAGAAUCAUAGACCCAGGGUUGGAAGUGACCUCCGAGGUCGUGUUGUCCAGCCCCUUCAUUUUCUAGAAGAGGAAACCGUGGCUCAAAGAGUAAGCGACUUGUCUGGGGUCACAUGGGUGGGCGAUUGGCAGAGCCCGGAUCUAAAGACGAAAGGACACAGCGUUAAGUAGGAAGCUGGACGGGACGGGGGUGUGCAUGCCAGGGCCCCCGACUGCCUCGGACUCGGAGGGGGUUCAGGGAAGGAAAGUAGCUGCGCUGAAGAGGCCGAGACACGCCGGGAGAAGCCUCCGGCCGGCCG
rnacentral:lncRNA from 1 species